CUACGGGAUGCUCCAGUGGGGAAUAUUGGACAAUGGGGGCAACCCUGAUCCAGCCAUGCCGCGUGAGUGAUGAAGGCCCUAGGGUUGUAAAGCUCUUUUGUGCGGGAAGAUAAUGACGGUACCGCAAGAAUAAGCCCCGGCUAACUUCGUGCCAGCAGCCGCGGUAAUACGAAGGGGGCUAGCGUUGCUCGGAAUCACUGGGCGUAAAGGGUGCGUAGGCGGGUCUUUAAGUCAGGGGUGAAAUCCUGGAGCUCAACUCCAGAACUGCCUUUGAUACUGAAGAUCUUGAGUAUGGGAGAGGUGAGUGGAACUGCGAGUGUAGAGGUGAAAUUCGUAGAUAUUCGCAAGAACACCAGUGGCGAAGGCGGCUCACUGGCCCAUAACUGACGCUGAGGCACGAAAGCGUGGGGAGCAAACAGGAUUAGAUACCCGAGUAGUC
rnacentral:rRNA from 1 species